rnacentral:rRNA from 1 species
GACGAACGCUGGCGGCGUGCUUAACACAUGCAAGUCGAACGGAAAGGCCCUGCUUUUGUGGGGUGCUCGAGUGGCGAACGGGUGAGUAACACGUGAGUAACCUGCCCUUGACUUUGGGAUAACUUCAGGAAACUGGGGCUAAUACCGGAUAGGAGCUCCGGCUGCAUGGUGGGGGUUGGAAAGUUUCGGCGGUUGGGGAUGGACUCGCGGCUUAUCAGCUUGCUGGUGGGGUAGUGGCUUACCAAGGCUUUGACGGGUAGCCGGCCUGAGAGGGUGACCGGCCACAUUGGGACUGAGAUACGGCCCAGACUCCUACGGGAGGCAGCAGUGGGGAAUAUUGCACAAUGGGCGGAAGCCUGAUGCAGCAACGCCGCGUGCGGGAUGACGGCCUUCGGGUUGUAAACCGCUUUCGCCUGUGACGAAGCGUGAGUGACGGUAAUGGGUAAAGAAGCACCGGCUAACUACGUG